rnacentral:rRNA from 1 species
CGUAGGGUGCGAGCGUUAAUCGGAAUUACUGGGCGUAAAGCGUGCGCAGGCGGUUUUGUAAGACAGAUGUGAAAUCCCCGGGCUCAACCUGGGACCUGCAUUUGUGACUGCAAGGCUAGAGUACGGUAGAGGGGGAUGGAAUUCCGCGUGUAGCAGUGAAAUGCGUAGAUAUGCGGAGGAACACCAAUGGCGAAGGCAAUCCCCUGGACCUGUACUGACGCUCAUGCACGAAAGCGUGGGGAGCAAACAGGAUUAGAUACCCUGGUAGUCCACGCCCUAAACGAUGUCAACUGGUUGUUGGGUCUUUACUGACUCAGUAACGAAGCUAACGCGUGAAGUUGACCGCCUGGGGAGUACGGCCGCAAGGUUG